rnacentral:rRNA from 1 species
UACGUAGGGGCCGAGCGUUGUCCGGAGUUACUGGGCGUAAAGCGCGCGCAGGCGGCGCAUCGCGCCCGGCGUGAAAGCCCCCGGCUCAACCGGGGAGGGUCGUCGGGGACGGGUGCGCUUGAGGACGGCAGGGGCAGGUGGAAUUCCCGGUGUAGUGGUGAAAUGCGUAGAGAUCGGGAGGAACACCCGUGGCGAAGGCGGCCUGCUGGGCCCGAUCC